rnacentral:rRNA from 1 species
AUUGAACGCUGGCGGCAGGCCUAACACAUGCAAGUCGAGCGAGCGGCGGACGGGUGAGUAAUGUAUGGGGAUCUGCCCGAUAGAGGGGGAUAACUACUGGAAACGGUAGCUAAUACCGCAUACCAUCGGAUGUGCCCAGAUGGGAUUAGCUUGUUGGUGGGGUAACGGCUCACCAAGGCGACGAUCCCUAGCUGGUCUGAGAGAAUGACCAGCCAACCUGGAACUGAGACACGGUCCAGACUCCUACGGGCGGCAGCAGUGGGGAAUAUUGCACAAUGGGCGCAAGCCUGAUGCAGCCAUGCCGCGUGUAUGAAGAAGGCCUUCGGGUUGUAAAGUACUUUCAGCGGGGAGGCGUUACCCGCAGAAGAAGCACCGGCUAACUCCGUGCCAGCAGCCGCGGUAAUAC